UUCAUGAGUACUUAUAUAAUUACAGGUUUACAGAUAUACCAAAUAUCUAAAUCUAUGAAAUCUCUUUAUAGGUUUCUGCUUCAGAUUUACAAGGUACUUGCAGACACUAUACUAUACAAUAGUACACUACAGUUGAACUUACGCAAUUCCAAAUGAAAGAUCAUAUUUAUACAGAAGGGUAUUAAAAUGCAUACAUACAAUAUUCUCCUCUUUCUUCUAUAUUGAGGGAAAUUUUCAGUGAAGUUGAAAUAUAUAUGGCGAAAUAAAAUUAAAUUUCGAGAAAUACAAAUUUCGAAAUGAAAAAGUAUUAAGAAUGUUCCACUCUGCGUGGUGCAUGCCCCCACCAACUGGCAUGUGCGGGUGUUAGUCAAAUGCCCUCAGCUUCGCCACUGCAUUUCAAUUUCCUGAUCUUGGAAAUUGAAAGAUUGCUUCCGAUGCACCUAUACUAACUAUAGCACGUCACAGACCUAUUCCGGGUACUAAGAAUUUCAACACACUA